rnacentral:rRNA from 1 species
AGAGUUUGAUCCUGGCUCAGGACGAACGCUGGCGGCGUGCUUAACACAUGCAAGUCGAGCGGUAAGGCCCUUCGGGGUACACGAGCGGCGAACGGGUGAGUAACACGUGAGCAAUCUGCCCAUCACAUCGGGAUAACUCCGGGAAACCGGUGCUAAUACCGAAUAUGACCACUUCAGGCAUCUGACGGUGGUGGAAAGUUCCGGCGGUGAUGGAUGAGCUCGCGGCCUAUCAGCUUGUUGGUGGGGUAACGGCCCACCAAGGCUUCGACGGGUAGCCGGCCUGAGAGGGUGACCGGCCACACUGGGACUGAGACACGGCCCAGACUCCUACGGGAGGCAGCAGUGGGGAAUAUUGGACAAUGGGCGAAAGCCUGAUCCAGCAACGCCGCGUGAGGGAUGACGGCCUUCGGGUUGUAAACCUCUUUCAGCAGGGACGAAGCGAAAGUGACGGUACCUGCAGAAGAAGCACCGGCCAACUACGUGCCAGCAGCCGCGGUAAUACGUAGGGUGCGAGCGUUGUCCGGAAUUAUUGGGCGUAAAGGGCUCGUAGGCGGUUUGUCGCGUCGGGAGUGAAAACUCAGGGCUUAACCCUGAGCCUGCUUCCGAUACGGGCAGACUAGAGGUAUGCAGGGGAGAACGGAAUUCCUGGUGUAGCGGUGAAAUGCGCAGAUAUCAGGAGGAACACCGGUGGCGAAGGCGGUUCUCUGGGCAUUACCUGACGCUGAGGAGCGAAAGUGUGGGGAGCGAACAGGAUUAGAUACCCUAGUAGUCC